rnacentral:rRNA from 1 species
UACGAAGGGGGCUAGCGUUGCUCGGAAUCAUUGGGCGUAAAGCGUAUGUAGGCGGCUUUUCAAGUCAGGUGUGAAAUCCCAUGGCUUAACCAUGGAACUGCAUUUGAAACUGUAAAGCUUGAGUAUUGGAGAGGAUGGUAGAAUUCCUGGUGUAGUGGUGAAAUACGUAGAUAUCAGGAGGAAUACCGGUGGCGAAGGCGGCCAUCUGGCCAAAUACUGACGCUGAGAUACGAAAGUGUGGGGAUCAAACAGG